rnacentral:rRNA from 1 species
GACGAACGCUGGCGGCGUGCCUAAUACAUGCAAGUAGAACGCUGAAGCGAGGAGCUUGCUCUUCUUGGAUGAGUUGCGAACGGGUGAGUAACGCGUAGGUAACCUGCCUUGUAGCGGGGGAUAACUAUUGGAAACGAUAGCUAAUACCGCAUAACACUGGAUGACACAUGUCAUUUAUUUGAAAGGGGCAAUUGCUCCACUACAAGAUGGACCUGCGUUGUAUUAGCUAGUAGGUGAGGUAAUGGCUCACCUAGGCGACGAUACAUAGCCGACCUGAGAGGGUGUUCGGCCACACUUGGACUGGGACACGGCCCAGAAUCCGACGGGGGGCAGCAGUAGGGAAUCAGCGGCAAUGGGGGCAACCCUGACCGAGCAACGCCGCGUGAGUGAAGAAGGUUUUCGGAUCGUAAAGCUCUGUUGUAAGUCAAGAACGGGUGUGAGAGUGGAAAGUUCACACUGUGACGGUAGCUUACCAGAAAGGGACGGCUAACUACGUG